rnacentral:rRNA from 1 species
CACCUGUCGCUACUACUGAUCAAACGGUCUGGUGAGGUCCUCAGAUCUGGCCAAUGAGUCCACUUAAGCAUGGCGGCGUUCUGUGCCAUUGUCAGUGCGUUCUCUGAUGGCCCAGAAAAGACGACUGAACCUUAUCGCUUAGGGGAAGUAGAAGUCGCAACAA